rnacentral:rRNA from 1 species
UACGAAGGGGCUAGCGUUGCUCGGAAUCACUGGGCGUAAAGCGCACGUAGGCGGAUUGCUAAGUCAGGGGUGAAAUCCUGGAGCUCAACUCCAGAACUGCCUUUGAUACUGGCGACCUUGAGUCCGGGAGAGGUGAGUGGAACUGCGAGUGUAGAGGUGAAAUUCGUAGAUAUUCGCAAGAACACCAGUGGCGAAGGCGGCUCACUGGCCCGGUACUGACGCUGAGGUGGCGAAAGCGUGGGGAGCAAACAGG